AUAUUCAAGAUGACGAGUGAUAAUAUUAAGAAGCCGAGCGUGGUAUUGGCGAUUUCUUAACUAAUUUACACUCGCAACAGCCAGCUGUCACGUCGACGCACCUUCGCUCGUUGCUGCCUUAUUGACGUGUGUUCUUUCAUUUUGUCUCUAGCACACGUUUGCCGAUUAAACCAUAAUUGUAAGUUUAUGAUACAUCGUUUUCUUGCCUUCAUUUGUCACAAUAUAUGCGGGCAGCGGCUGGCUGAAAGGCGCAGUCCAGCGGGGUUCGUAUGACAGCUGCAGUUCGAGAUUCCUUUUGUUGGAUGCAAGAUCGGGGGUUGGACUUCUAAUGAGCAGCUUGCUUGUGGGCGCCCUGGCGGCUCCCCAGCCCAGUAGCCCG